rnacentral:rRNA from 1 species
GAUGAACGCUGGCGGCGUGCCUAAUACAUGCGAGUCGAGCGAACAGACGAGGAGCUUGCUCCUCUGACGUUAGCGGCGGACGGGUGAGUAACACGUGGAUAACCUACCUAUAAGACUGGGAUAACUUCGGGAAACCGGAGCUAAUACCGGAUAAUAUAUUGAACCGCAUGGUUCAAUAGUGAAAGACGGUUUUGCUGUCACUUAUAGAUGGAUCCGCGCCGCAUUAGCUAGUUGGUAAGGUAACGGCUUACCAAGGCAACGAUGCGUAGCCGACCUGAGAGGGUGAUCGGCCACACUGGAACUGAGACACGGUCCAGACUCCUACGGGAGGCAGCAGUAGGGAAUCUUCCGCAAUGGGCGAAAGCCUGACGGAGCAACGCCGCGUGAGUGAUGAAGGUCUUCGGAUCGUAAAACUCUGUUAUUAGGGAAGAACAAAUGUGUAAGUAACUAUGCACGUCUUGACGGUACCUAAUCAGAAAGCCACGGCUAACUAUGUG